rnacentral:rRNA from 1 species
CCUACGGGAGGCAGCAGUGGGGGAUCUUGCGCUAAUGCGCGAAAGCGUGACGCAGCGACGCCGCGUGGGGGAUGAAGGCCUUCGGGUUGUAAACCCCUUUCGGCAGGGACGAAGGGAAACUGACGGCACCUGCAGAAGAAGUCCCGGCUAACUACGUGCCAGCAGCCGCGGUAACACGUAGGGGACGAGCGUUGUCCGGAUUCAUUGGGCGUAAAGCGCGCGUAGGCGGCUCGGAAAGUCGGUCGUGAAAUGCCGGGGCUCAACCCCGGGACUGCGUCCGAUACUUCCGGGCUGGAGGUAGGUAGGGGAGAUCGGAAUUCCUGGUGUAGCGGUGAAAUGCGCAGAUAUCAGGAGGAACACCGAUGGCGAAGGCGGAUCUCUGGGCCUUACCUGACGCUGAGGCGCGAAAGCUAGGGGAGCGAACAGGAUUAGAUACCCUGGUAGUCCUAGCCGUAAACGUUGGGUGUUAGGUGUGGGCGGACAUCGACCCCGUCCGUGCCGAAGCUAACGCAUUAAGCACCCCGCCUGGGGAGUACGGCCGCAAGGCUAAAACUCAAAGGAAUUGACGG